AGAGUUUGAUCAUGGCUCAGGACGAACGCUGGCGGCGUGCCUAACACAUGCAAGUCGAACGGAGUUAAGUCUUCGGAUUUAACUUAGUGGCGAACGGGUGAGUAACGCGUGAGGAACCUGCCUUUCAGUGGGGGACAACAGUUGGAAACGACUGCUAAUACCGCAUAACAUGUACGGAUCGCAUGGUCUGUACAUCAAAGCUUUAUGUGCUGAAAGAUGGCCUCGCGUCUGAUUAGAUAGUUGGUGAGGUAACGGCUCACCAAGUCGACGAUCAGUAGCCGGUCUGAGAGGAUGAACGGCCACAUUGGGACUGAGAUACGGCCCAGACUCCUACGGGAGGCAGCAGUGGGGAAUAUUGGGCAAUGGGGGAAACCCUGACCCAGCAACGCCGCGUGAAGGAAGAAGGCCUUCGGGUUGUAAACUUCUUUUACCAGGGACGAAGAACGUGACGGUACCUGGAGAAAAAGCAACGGCUAACUACGUGCCAGCAGCCGCGGUAAUACGUAGGUUGCAAGCGUUGUCCGGAUUUACUGGGUGUAAAGGGCGUGUAGGCGGAGAUGCAAGUCAGGAGUGAAAUCCCGGGGCUCAACCCCGGAACUGCUUUUGAAACUGCAUCCCUUGAGUAUCGGAGAGGCAAGCGGAAUUCCUAGUGUAGCGGUGAAAUGCGUAGAUAUUAGGAGGAACACCAGUGGCGAAGGCGGCUUGCUGGACGACAACUGACGCUGAGGCGCGAAAGCGUGGGGAGCAAACAGGAUUAGAUACCCUGGUAGUCC
rnacentral:rRNA from 1 species